ACUCAAGAUGGCGACGCCCAUACCGGAAGUCGUCACGGCCCACCCUCAAGAUGGCGACGCCCUCACCGAAAGUCGUCACGGCCCACACUCAAGAUGGCGACGCCCUCACCGGAAGUCAUCACGGCCCACACUCAAGAUGGCGACGCCCUCACCGAAAGUCGUCACGGCCAACACUCAAGAUGGCGACGCCCUCACCGGAAGUCGUCACGGCCCACACUCAAGAUGGCGACGCCCUCACCGGAAGUCGUCACGGCCAACACUCAAGAUAACACCGCCCUCACCGGAACGUGCAGAGCCACAACAAAGAUGGCGGCCAGCACGUGAGCGGUAGGGCAGGCCGAAGGCGGCAGUCAUGGCGGCGGCCGCCGCAAGCACCGGCGCGGGCAGGCUCCAUUCGGAGACGUGGCACAGCCGUGAGGACGAGGACCCCUGAGCAAGCACAGAUGGUGGAAUUGCCAGCUGAGGGCAUUCCCCAGGAACUCCCAGAUCCUGACAUCUCUGCCCAGGUAAGGAAAGCUGACAACUUUGCACGGCUGUGCCGUGCCAAAGCACGCUCCUCUCCAAAAGCCAGCAACUAGGGAGAAGAUCUGGGGAGCAACGAGAAGAAAAGCUGCUGAUUGAAUUCACAGUUUGGCAGGGCUGGGACAAGGAAGACUCGUGCAGGCACCUACACAGACGGCGGGAAUGGGAGCGUGGUGUGGAGAAGUAAAAUUGUAGGUGCACUGGCACGAGAGGAAAUACCUCAGAGGGGCUCACCUCCAACUAAUCUCUGAAUAUCUCAGGAGGUUUCAGCGGGGAGAAAAGAGCAGUGGAAGAAAAGCACCCUAAACAGUAGCCAGUGGGGAUCAUCGGGUUUUGCAGCCAAGAAAAACAAGGACAGAGAUGAGGGAAUCGGGCUCCGAUGAAUAAUGAUUUGAUGGGUGUACGAAU